UUUCACUGGAGCAUUAGUUUCCUUUGUGAUGACAUGAGAACCUGUAAAGGUGGACUCACUGGUGUUGCCUUGGCAAUAAGGGGAAGGAAAGUUGGUGUCGCCAACAGUCUGAAUGGAAAC
rnacentral:snoRNA from 1 species